GACGAACGCUGGCGGCGUGCUUAACACAUGCAAGUCGAACGGAAAGGCCUCUUUCGGGGGGUACUCGAGUGGCGAACGGGCGAGUAACACGUGAGUAACCUGCCCUUGACUUUGGGAUAACUUCAGGAGACUGGGGCUAAUACCGGAUAGGAGCUCCUGCUGCAUGGUGGGGGUUGGAAAGUUUCGGCGGUUGGGGAUGGACUCGCGGCUUAUCAGCUUGUUGGUGGGGUAGUGGCUUACCAAGGCUUUGACGGGUAGCCGGCCUGAGAGGGUGACCGGCCACAUUGGGACUGAGAUACGGCCCAGACUCCUACGGGAGGCAGCAGUGGGGAAUAUUGCACAAUGGGUGGAAGCCUGAUGCAGCAACGCCGUGUGCGGGAUGACGGCCUUCGGGUUGUAAACCGCUUUCGCUCAUGACGAAGCUUUGUGUGACGGUAGUGGGUAAAGAAGCACCGGCUAACUACGUG
rnacentral:rRNA from 1 species